rnacentral:rRNA from 1 species
UCGUGAAGGUGAGCAGACCACAAAAAGAACGUCCCAGUUCGGAUUACAGCCUGCAACCCGGCUGUAUGAAGCUGGAAUCGCUAGUAAUCGCAAAUCAGAAUGUUGCGGUGAAUACGUUCCCGGGUCUUGUACACACCGCCCGUCACACCAUGGGAGCCAGGAAUGCCCGAAGCCAGUGGCCUAACCGCGAGGGAGGAGCUGUCGAAGGCAGGCCCGGUAACUGGGGUGAAGUCGUAACAAGGUAGC